rfam:Aspergillus wentii DTO 134E9 unplaced genomic scaffold ASPWEscaffold_4, whole genome shotgun sequence.
GCCGGGCUAGCUCAAUCGGUAGAGCGUGAGACUCUUAAUCUCAAGGCUGCGGGUUCGACCCCCGCGUUCGGCU